CGCAUCUGUGCAUGCAGCAUAUCAAUAAGCGGAGGAAAAGAAACUAACAAGGAUUCCCUUAGUAACGGCGAGUGAAGCGGGAAGAGCUCAAAUUUGAAAUCUUCAAGGUUUUACCUUGACGAAUUGUAGUUUAAAGAAGUGUUUUCUGUUGAAGUUUUGGUAAAAGUUCUUUGGAAUAGGACAUCAUAGAGGGUGAGAAUCCCGUAUUUGACCAUUAUUUUCAGCUGUGUGAUACACUUUCAAAGAGUCGGAUUGUUUGGGAAUGCAGUCCAAAAUGGGUGGUAAAUUUCAUCUAAAGCUAAAUAUUGGCGAGAGACCGAUAGCGAACAAGUACCGUGAGGGAAAGAUGAAAAGAACUUUGAAAAGAGAGUUAAACAGUACGUGAAAUUGUCAAAAGGGAAGCGUUUGACACCAGUGUUGUUUUCUCGAAAAUCAAUUAAAAAGAGUUUGAUUUUGUUGUGUAUUGACCUUAACAGCUUGCAUUCCAAUUUUCUUGCUUUUUUUAAUGCACUUUUCGUUUAACAAGUCAACAUCAGUUUCUUUUGUUGUAAAAAGGUCAUUGGAAGGUGGCUUUCUUUUCGGAGAAAGUGUUUAUAGCCUUUGACUCCUGCAAUCGGAGAGACUGAGGUCUGCAGCGUAGAUCCUUCGGGGUUAGAUACAUUUGUGCUAAGUUAUAGCUUUUUAUAGACAACUUGUUGACUAUGAUUAGUCUUGUAGCUUACUCGCUUAUGCUAUUUUACCUACGCUUAGGAUGUUGAACUCUAUCACACACAG
rnacentral:rRNA from 1 species